rnacentral:rRNA from 1 species
UAGUGCGGCAGCCUACACAUGCAAGUCGAACGGCAGCACAGCAGUAGCAAUACUGUGGGUGGCGAGUGGCGGACGGGUGAGGAAUGCAUCGGAAUCUGCCUAUUUGUGGGGGAUAACGUAGGGAAACUUACGCUAAUACCGCAUACGUCCUACGGGAGAAAGUGGGGGAUCGCAAGACCUCACGCAGAUAGAUGAGCCGAUGCCGGAUUAGCUAGUUGGCGGGGUAAAGGCCCACCAAGGCGACGAUCCGUAGCUGGUCUGAGAGGAUGAUCAGCCACACUGGAACUGAGACACGGUCCAGACUCCUACGGGAGGCAGCAGUGGGGAAUAUUGGACAAUGGGCGCAAGCCUGAUCCAGCCAUGCCGCGUGAGUGAAGAAGGCCUUCGGGUUGUAAAGCUCUUUUGUCCGGAAAGAAAAGCGCUCGGUUAAUACCCGGGUGUCAUGACGGUACCGGAAGAAUAAGCACCGGCUAACUUCGUGCCAGCAGCCGCGGUAAUACGAAGGGUGCAAGCGUUACUCGGAAUUACUGGGCGUAAAGCGUGCGUAGGUGGUUUGUUAAGUCUGAUGUGAAAGCCCUGGGCUCAACCUGGGAACUGCAUUGGAUACUGGCUUACUAGAGUGCGGUAGAGGGGUGUGGAAUUCCCGGUGUAGCAGUGAAAUGCGUAGAUAUCGGGAGGAACAUCUGUGGCGAAGGCGACACCCUGGACCAGCACUGACACUGAGGCACGAAAGCGUGGGGAGCAAACAGGAUUAGAUACCCUGGUAGUCCACGCCCUAAACGAUGCGAACUGGAUGUUGGGGGGCAACUUGGCCCUCAGUAUCGAAGCUAACGCGUUAAGUUUCGCCCGCCCUGGGAAAGUACGGUCGCAAGACUGAAACUCAAAGGGAAUUUGACGGGGGGCCGGCACAGGCGAUGCAGUAUGUGGUUUAAUUUCGGAAUUGCCAACCGCCGGG